GAACAAAUUGUAACAUCAGGGACUUCAAAGGCAGGAUUUUCCCCCCAGAUGGGGGGGGUAUGGCAGGAAGACACGUGUCCAUCCACCAUCUAACCCAGCCCGUGUCCUCCCUGGCAGGUGGAGAGCGAUUACUGCCUGCUGCUGGCCCUGCCCUGCGGCCGCGACCAGGAGGACGUGGUCAGUCAGACCGAGUCACUCAAGGCUGCCUUCAUCAGUUACCUGCAGGCCAAACAGGCUGCAGGGAUCAUCAACGUCCCCAACCCCGGCUCCAACCAGCCUGCCUACGUUCUGCAGAUCUUCCCACCCUGCGAAUUUUCGGAAAGCCACCUGUCCCGCCUCGCCCCGGACCUCCUCGCCAGCAUCUCCAACAUCUCUCCUCACCUCAUGAUUGUCAUCGCGUCGGUAUGAGCUGUUUACCAGUUACUGACUUUUUAUUAUUUUAAUUUUUUAUUUUUAUUUUUAUUUUUUAAUUUUUAUCCAAGGCCCUGCAGCAAAAAAAAAAAAAAAAUUACCAAAAAGAAAAAAAAAAAAACAAACAGCCCACAACAACAACAAAAAAAAUUUAAUUUUCAAAUCAAAACUAAAUCAAAAGAAGGAGAGAGAAGGUUAUGAAACAAGAAAAAUGCUGCCAGAAACCAGCCUCCUGCCCGACCGGCCUCGAUCAAACCGUAUGUUUACAUGUUGCUUUAGCUUAUGGACAACUGAUGCACUCAGCAGGUGGACUGGGCUUGGGUUCCUGUGCCUCCUUUUUGGGGAAAAAAUACAAAAAAACCCACGAAAAAAACCACAAAAAAAAAAAAGAA